rnacentral:lncRNA from 1 species
AGGUUAAUGUUUGAUAUUAUAUGAUGAUCGUAAUGCCCGUGUAUCUUUUCGCUCAAUCCUUUUAGGGUAUUUUGAGACUCGGGGACAACUUUGUUCGGCAAAACGAGGCCCUACGCGACGGUUCGGUGGGUUUGACCUAGCCCUUAUAUGAGAAAUUCUCAUAUAUUGUGAAAUAUGUUUCGUAAAUUGGAAAAGCAUGCAUAUUCAUACUAAAUGUAUUUAUUAUGAUUUUUAGAAUGCUUAAUAUGCAUAUGUUAUGUAUAGUAAAUUUUUCGACCCCUAUGUGGUAGGGUACAUGCUUGUGGGAUAUAGCAUUCUAGUUGAGACUUGGAACCAUGAUUCCUAUUAUGAAAAUUGAACAUUGUUUCUAUGCAUUCCACUCUUAUGCCUAAUCGUGAUGUUAGGGACUUUGGAUGCCUAGAGAGGCUUGGGGACUUAGUUUAUUUGGGAUUUUGGGUCAAUGUCAUAAAGAGGCAUUGGGCCCCGAGUUAUAGUAAACAUCGGUAUUAAUGUCAUAUUUGGGACAUAGAACAUGAUUUGAGCUUGGUUAGUUGUGGUGCUUAAGUGUCAUAAAGAGGCACUAAGCAAGUGAGUAUUGAGAUAUCACCUUGUGACUUUGAGCUAGACCGUUGGGUUACUAGUAGCUAUUGCCAUGUUAGAGACAUGAGGAUUGGAUACUCGAGACUUGGACUAUGCUUGUUUGCCAUUUGUGCUCAUUCGCACAUGCUUGUGAGGGUCGCUCCCUACAAGCCGGCACUCCGGAGUUAGCCUACGCGACUUUUGAUCGCUCGUGCGGUAUUGAGAAGCCUACGGGGUCGAGUGGGACAGACACAUUCCAAGAGUAGGGAUGUUGGGCUACCACAGGCACUUAGGCGGCACAAGCUGGACUACCUUUGGUAGGUCCUCUGUUGGAAAUGGAAAUCGACACGGUGUUGAGUUUAUUAUGAAUCAUACCUAGACAAGUCAGUAGCUGGUACUGACUUACUCUAGCAUAGUGGACAUUUGCAUUCAUACAUACAUGAUAGUAGCUAGCGAGAUGUCUGGUUAUGCAUCCUUAUAUGCAUUGUAGUCAUGACAGAGUUCACUUUCAUAUCUGUAUAAAGUAAAUCAUGACAUUAUCUGUAACAUGUAAAUUUAUUAAUAUCUCACGAAAGAUAAAAUUGCAUUAUAAAUGCCAUGUUACUUGCAAGUAGAAGUUAGCUCUUAAUCAUGCUCUUCAUAUAUGCAAUUACUCGUACUAUAUGUCGUUACUUACCCUUUUCUUUUGGGGCCUAGUGGUGCAUUGAGCUGAGGUCAGUAAUUGCCCACUGGGAACUAUAAAUUAUAGUUCUCACGCCCUCUUUUUCUCGAUGUUUUUCAGAGCCUUCCACGCAGGGUGAGGCCAGGGAUCGCGGGAAGGGAGUUGCUUCGAGCUAGCUUCCUUCGAGGACGAGUUGCUAG